GAUACGAACAAUGUGGCAUUGGUCCCUACGUCUAGAAAAGAUAUUUGGGCACGACAUUGAAAGAGUCAGAAUUGGGUUUCUUGUCAAGAAUUCAUAACAUCUGUGGGGGGAAAAAAAAAAUAGAGACUGUAAAAGUAGCACUUAUUCUCGUGGAAUUGUUUGACACAGUCACAGAAAUUCAUUAAAACAUCAGGAAAAAAAAAAAAUUCUUUCACUAAAAAGCUUGGCUUUAAUCAUCGGCUCUCGUUGACGUGAAUUUGGGAGAACAGGAAAGCUCGUACUGGAAUGCUGCACGCUGCUGCUGGCCAAACUGGGCAACUGGAAUGUGUUGGGCUGGCAGCGCCCGCCAGCCCCGCUCAGUCUGCAAUCUUCGCCAUCUGCUGUUCCAGCUUGGAAAUGCGCUCGUCUUGGUUGGUGAUGGUGUCUUUGAUGGAUUUCAGCUCUUUCAAAAUCUCAUCCAAUUUGGCUUCGUUUUGAGUGUCUGAGGCAUCAGCCGCUUUCUUUGGAGCACUUAUGAGAUCGCUUUUCUUGUUUGCAGCAGGCUUGUUGUCCAGUAUAUUCUUCUUGACCACCUUGAGAUCCCUGUUCUUGCCAGGAAUGUACCCAUGCUUCAAGGAAAUGAGAAGGGGAUCAGCAUUCUUCCCCUCAAACCACUCUUCUGCUUCCAGCGCUGCCUCCGGGCCGGCUGUGUCGGGGUACAGGUCGUCCUGGAAGAGGUCCGACUUUCGAGGGACGGUCAUGAUGAUGGGCUCGCAUUUCCUCUCGUGAAGCUUGAAGAACCUGGCAAUCUCGCACUUGUUCACAUCAAGGCCCCUCUUUGGCAUGAACCCCAUCCCCC
rnacentral:lncRNA from 1 species